CAGAAAGCAAGCUGGGAGUCUGGAGUGUCACUGGGAUGAGACCAGGAGUCAGGAACCUCCUCUGCUUUCUCACCCGUCCAAGGUCUAAGCUCUGCUGACACAAUCGCAUUCAUACCGCGCUCCGGCUCAGUACAGCAAUGACAAAAUGGCCGGUAUCAGAAACAGAUGAUUUACUUCUACAGGUACUUGUGCAGCAUGCAGAAAUGCCACUGAACUAGCCCAUUCACCAAAGAUCGCCUUUUUUUUCGUCCUCUCUCUUCUUAAGUAAUCAGGUGUACAAGAGGGACUGAAGAGGGAAAGGAAAGUGUCUGAUGGAAAGAUAAGUCUUUAAGAACUAGGAGGAUCUCAAGACCGGAAUUUAGUUUUCUGCUGCUUAAACAACUGUUUUGUAAGCCUCAUGUUAGCCUGUAUGAAUUUAUGAAUAUAAAGACUCUUUG